rnacentral:rRNA from 1 species
GAUGAACGCUGGCGGCGUGCCUAAUACAUGCAAGUCGAGCGAACAGACCAGGAGCUUGCUCCUCUGACGUUAGCGGCGGACGGGAGAGUAACACGUGGAUCCCCUACCUAUAAGACUGGGAUAACUUCGGGAAACCGGAGCUAAUACCGGACAAUAUAUUCAACCGCAUGGGUUAAUAGUGAAUGACGGCUUUGCUGUCACCUGUAGCCGGUUCCCCGCCGCAUUAGCUAGUUGGUAAGGUAACGGGUUACCAAGACCGCGAUGCGUAGCCGAACUGGGAGGGGGAUCGCCGACACUGGAAGUGGGACGCGGUCACGGGUCCUGCGGGAGGCAGCAGAAGGGAAUCGGACGCAGUGGUCGAAAGCCUUGCGCAGCAACGCCGCGUGAGUGAUAAAGGCCUUGGGAUGGUGAAACUGUGUUAUUGGGGAAGAACAAAUGUGUAAGUGACUAUGCAGGUCGUGACGGUACCUAAUCAGAAAGCCACGGCUAACUACGUG